rnacentral:tRNA from 1 species
GGGUCCGUAGUCUAGCGGUAGGACAUGAAACCUAAAGCUGCCCUGACGCGGCAGUAACUCCGGUUCAAAUCCGGACGGACCCA